ACGGAGGGUGCGAGCGUUAAUCGGAAUUAAUGGGCGUAAAGCGCACGCAGGCGGUCUGUUAAGCUAGAUGUGAAAGCCCCGCGCUCAACGUGGGAGGGUCAUUUAGAACUGGCAGACUAGAGUCUUGGAGAGGGGAGUGGAAUUCCAGGUGUAGCGGUGAAAUGCGUAGAGAUCUGGAGGAACAUCAAUGGCGAAGGCAACUCCCUGGCCAAAGACUGACGCUCAUGUGCGAAAGUGUGGGUAGCGAACAGG
rnacentral:rRNA from 1 species